rnacentral:misc_RNA from 1 species
UGGCUCUCGCAUCGAUGAAGAACGCAGCGAAAUGCGAUAAGUAAUGUGAAUUGCAGAAUUCAGUGAAUCAUCGAAUCUUUGAACGCACCUUGCGCUCCUUGGUAUUCCGAGGAGCAUGCCUGUUUGAGUGUCAUGAAAUUCUCAAUCUCUCUGGUUUUUUCAACUAGUGAGGCUUGGAUCAUGGAAGUUGCUGGCUCUGUUUGAAUCAGCUCUUCUUAAAUUUAUUAGCGAAGACCUUCGCUGAUUAUCUCUGGUAUGAUAAUUAUCUAUAUCAUUGAUGAUCAGUUCCCUUCUAUGGGGAGGUCGUGCUUCUAAUAGUCUUUUAGACAACUUGACAACUUUGACCUCAAAUCAGGUAGGACUACCCGCUGA